UUAUUUGUUUAUUAUUGCAUUCUGUACAUCUUUCAAGAAUGACCGCCGAAAUUACAAAAAAACAAAUUUUUGAUAUUUGGACCUCAAAUGCGAAAGAGGAGCGAAUUAAUGCUAUUUUUGCAUUUAUAAUAGGUUUCAUAUCAUACUCUCGGGUCGGGUUUUACAGUCGAUUUGGAUUCCUUCAAUAG